rnacentral:antisense_RNA from 1 species
CUACAUGGCGGACGGUACGUGGGGGGCUUCGGCCUCGCCGGCUCCUGAGUCCGGUACUGCAACCCGUACCGUCCGCCGCCCCC